UCCUCUUGUACAUGUAUAUAUGGUGGCUUUUGCCUCCUAGUAAUACAAGUUGCAUAUUUCCCUAACACCCCCGAGCCCAGUGGACGUGACCAAGCUCGGCCCGGAGGCGCAGGAGAUGCGGGAGGGCCUCAUCCGCCUUUGCUCCGAGGCCGAGGGGAAGUUGGAGGCACACUAGUCCGACAAGCUUGCCGCCUUCGACAACCCGCUCGACCACCUCGACAUGUUCCCCUACUACAGCAACUACAUCAACCUCAGCAAGCUGGAGUACGAGCUCCUGGCGCGCUACGUGCCCGGCGGCAUCACCCCUGCCCGCGUCGCCUUCAUCGGCUCCGGCCUGCUGCUGUUCAGCUCCUUCGUCCUGGCCGCGCGCCACCUGCCCGACACCAUGUUCGACAACUACGACCUAUUAUGUUACUGGGUCUAAUUCAACCAUCGUUACAUUAGGCCCAUUCUAGGCCCAUUAGCACUUUGGGUUGUUUCUCAUCCGUGAUGCAUUUUGGCUCAUUAAGGGUCCGUUAUGCCUACAGAUAGUAAUAAGCAUGUGAUGUCUUUUGGCCAGUUAACGACCCAUUAUGUUCUGGGCCCAUAAACGGACCCUUCUGCUUUUAGCCCGUUUGAGGCCCAUAUUGCGGUUUGAGCCUUUUGUUAUACGAGGUUAUUUGGCCCAUUUGUGGCCCAUGUUGUGUUUCGGCGUGUUCGCAGCCCAUAUAUACAUGAUAUGUGGCCCACUAAUAGUAUGGCCCCUAUGUGGCCCAUGGUUCCUAUGACCCAUAGAAGGCACAUCGUUAUUUUGGCCCAUAAGUGGCACAUGGUUACCACGACCCAUUAACAACUGACGGGACUUUCGGUGCGGUCCAUAAGCAAACCGCACACAUAAAACUACAAUACCUAUGGUAAGUAAAAAUAUAAACAAGCAAGUUGAGCUAGGCUAUUAUCAUGGCUAUUACAUAUAUUAAAUGCACUGGCCCUCAAAGUUUGUCACCGGUGCAAAUAAAUGGCGGCCUUUACAUUUGAAAAUCAUUUGUUGAAAAGUAUUUGUUGAAAAUCAUUUGAAAAUCCAAGACAUAUCGAGAUCGCUUAAAAACCCAAUACAUUUUUUAAAUCAGAAAAAUCGAGAGAAUGAACAUGAAGGCCCAUGCAAAUUGUAUAUAGGAAAAAGAAAAAUUCUUAACAUUUAAGUUCAAAUGAAGUUUUGACUUCUCAACAUUUUGUACAUUACAACACUAGUAUACAUGGAAUGCAAUAGGAAAAUGAAAAUUCCCAACAUUUUAGUCCUGAAAAAGGUCAAUUUAAACUAAUCUAAAAAUUCCUGGUUCCGGAAGUACUAAUCACAUUUUGCACCGGUGAACAUCUGUUCUAAAAUACAUGGCAUAAAUUGUUGUUUAAAGGAUCAUUGCAAAGAAAUGUACAACCUAUUUUGGAACGGAUGGAGUAUAUUAUACCAUCACUAGCUGGCAGUUAAUUGACUAUCAAUUCGCUACUGAAAAAGGCGAUGUUGCCCUAGUUACACCUUUGAAAGUUAGAUCUGCACACAUAUCAUUUGUGCAAAUAUGGUCGAUAAUAUGGUUUGUUGGACUUACAACAAAUAUAGAUAUAGGGUAACUUUAGAGUACUAAAAUCUUAUGAAAUAAAAAACUUUAAAUCAUUGCAGGACAAUUUUUAAAAAAAAUGAAUGUUACAAAAAAAACAAAAAACUCGGUAACUUACUUCUAGUUACAAUCUCACAUAACCGAGAUUUGAAAGAGUAGAUAAAUCAUAACCUGGGCGAAAUUUGUUAGUACUUCCAUAACCGAGAUUUUUUUAUGGGAGUACUUUUAAUUAACCAAUUUCAUAGGAGUAUAUAAACCAUGGAGGGAAAAAAAAAUAUCCCACGCAACCAGUAGUGGCUCCAAGGAAAUUUAAGUUCUUUGUACCGAAAAAAUAAGUUAAAUUAGUCUUUAACUGUGACAUUUUGUUGCGCGUAUGUGUAGGAGCUUUUAGAUAGGAAUACCUCAAGUCGCAAUCAGCCUAAAAAGCUAUGUUAGGUACUACACUCUUUAUUCAAAGCGAUCGGAUCUACUACAUACAGACAUAGAAAACGCUGUCCACUUCAACAGCAGGACGUGAAGCACCGAACAAGUCACAACAGAGGCGUGCAUGAAACGAGCCUCUCACCCGGGCAGCUCCACCCGGGCCGACCGACCGCGUGACCGACCGCGUGAACCGUGCGUGCAUGGAUGCACACCUUUUGUAGCUCCACCCGGGCAGCUAUAUACACCCAGUGGUGCCCGCUCCAUUAACAUCAAGCAAGAAGCUCCAUCAACCACUCUCCACUCCACUUUUGUACGAAGAACACUAGUGAAAUAUGGCUGCCCAGAACAACAAGGAGGUGGAUGCCCUGGUGGAGAAGAUCACCGGCCUCCACGCCGCCAUCGCCAAGCUGCCGUCGCUCAACCCAUCCCCGGACGUCGACGCGCUCUUCACUGAGCUGGUCACGGCGUGCGUUCCCCCGAGCCCGGUGGACGUGACCAAGCUCGGCCCGGGGGCGCAGGAGAUGCGGGAGGGCCUCAUCCGCCUUUGCUCCGAGGCCGAGGGGAAGCUGGAGGCGCACUACUCCGACAUGCUUGCCGCCUUCGACAACCCUCUGGAUCACCUCGGCAUGUUCCCCUACUACAGCAACUACAUCAACCUCAGCAAGCUUGAGUACGAGCUCCUGGCGCGCUACGUGCCCGGUGGCAUCGCCCCUGCCCGCGUCGCCUUCAUCGGCUCCGGCCCACUCCCGUUCAGCUCCUUUGUCCUGGCCGCGCGCCAUCUGCCCGACACCAUGUUCGACAACUACGACCUGUGCGGUGCGGCCAACGACCGUGCCAGCAAGCUGUUCCGUGCGGACACGGACGUGGGCGCCCGCAUGUCGUUCCACACGGCCGACGUAGCGGACCUCG
rnacentral:lncRNA from 1 species